GACGAACGCUGGCGGCGGGCUUAAUACAUGCAAGUAGAACGAGUGGCGGACGGGUGAGCAAUGUCUGGGAAACUGCCUGAGGGAGUGGGAUAACAACUGUAAACGGUGGCUAAUACCGCAUACCAUCAGAUGUGCCCAGAUGGGAUUAGAUGGUUGGUGGGGUAACGGCUCACCAAGGCGACGAUCCCUAGCUGGUCUGAGAGGAUGACCAGCCACACUGGAACUGAGACACGGUCCAGACUCCUACGGGAGGCAGCAGUGGGGAAUAUUGCACAAUGGGCGCAAGCCUGAUGCAGCCAUGCCGCGUGUAUGAAGAAGGCCUUCGGGUUGUAAAGUACUUUCAGCGGGGAGGCGUUACCCGCAGAAGAAGCACCGGCUAACUCCGUGCCAGCAGCCGCGGUAAUUC
rnacentral:rRNA from 1 species